rnacentral:lncRNA from 10 species
CAUUUUGUUCUUCUCGUGGUUCCAGUGGGGAGAGAAGGAGGAAGUAGGGAGCGGGGUGGCAGGGGGGGGACCCGCCGCGGCUGCUGCCACCGCCGCCACCACCGCCUCUGCUCGUGGCGUGGGAAAGGAGGUGUGAGUCCCGGGCGCGAGCCGGCGGCGGCGCCGCUGCGGGAGGGUCGGCGGUGGGAAGGCGAUGGCGGAUUUAGAUAAACUCAACAUCGACAGCAUUAUCCAACGGCUGCUGGAAGAUGGAGUCUCACUCUGUCGCCCAGGCUGGAGUGCAGUUGCACGAUCUCAGCUCACUGCAACCUCCACCUCCCGGGUUCAAGCGAUUCUUCUGCCUCAGCCUCCGCAGUAACCAGCCACCACGCCCAGCCUGAUAUGACAACUUUUAAGAACUCUCCAGUGUUCACUUGGACUGCCAAGCCCCAUUUGAAAUCUCUGUUAGACAAUUCAACGUGAAAUUUAAGAGUAAUUCUAGAUUUUCAUACUUUGAAAAAUACUCCAGUAAAGCCUGUGAGAGGGUCCAAGCCUGGUAAGAAUGUCCAGCUUCAGGAGAAUGAAAUCAGAGGACUGUGCUUAAAGUCUCGUGAAAUCUUUCUC